GUGCCAGCCGCCGCGGUAAUACGAAGGGGGCUAGCGUUGUUCGGAAUUACUGGGCGUAAAGCGCGCGCAGGCGGUCCUUCAAGUCAGGGGUGAAAGCCCAGGGCUCAACCCUGGAAUUGCCUUUGAGACUGAGGGACUUGGGUACGGGAGAGGUGAGUGGAAUUCCGAGUGUAGAGGUGAAAUUCGUAGAUAUUCGGAAGAACACCAGUGGCGAAGGCGGCUCACUGGCCCGUUACCGACGCUCAGGCGCGACAGCGUGGGGAGCAAACAGGAUUAGAAACCCCUGUAGUCC
rnacentral:rRNA from 1 species